CAUUGCCCUCUUCAAGGCCCAUGAGGUGGCCUCCAAAAGGAUUGAGGAAAAGAUCCAAGAAGAGAAGUCAAUCCUGCAGAACCUCGAUUUGCGGGGCCAGUCCAUCUUCAGUACCAUCCACACCUAUGGCCUCUAUGUGAACUUCAAGAACUUUGUCUGCAACAUCGGGGAAGAUGCAGAGUUGUUUAUGGCCCUCUACGACCCAGACCAGUCCACUUUUAUCAGGUAGCAGAGACCCACAUCCCCUGCUGCUGACCUAACAAAGAUACCCAGCCUUCCCCUGACCCCUACCCGGGCAGCUCUUUGCCAGAUUUGAGAAGAGAAAAUAGGGAAGCAUGGAAGAUUUCUAAGCAGUAGAAUGUAAAAUCAUAUGGUCUAUGAAGCCUUCAUAUGUCACUACUAGAACAAUGAGGCCAGUUUGUAUACUCUCUGGGAUUUAGAGAUCACAUAAAACUCAUUAGGGCUUGGAGAUGGGAACAAAGAAUUCAAAACAGUGUGUGGGAGGGUGAGAAAGGGAUGAAUAGGCAGAGCACAGAGGAUUUUUAGAGCAACGGCAGUAUUCUGUAUGAUGCUAUAGUGGUGGAUGCAUGUCAU
rnacentral:lncRNA from 10 species